CAUAUUUGAGGAUAAGUAUUGUAGGAAAAAGUACUGUGUUUUCCCACUGAUGUGAAGAAUAAAUGGAGGAAACAACUCCACACCGCAGCCCCAGUCCACAAGAGGGCGCUGUAGAAGUUAACCAGUGGCGUCCUGUUCCAGUUUCACAUAUAUAUUCUGGACAUGGUUUGAAUGCGGUUUUGAUGUGCCAUCUCGGCGUGUGCAAAAGUUUGAAUUACAAACAAGCAAAAUUCUAACAAACAUCUACAGCUCUUUACUUGUCUGCUUUCAACCUUUUCCUGGACUGCUGAUGUGGAUCCCGUGAUGCACGUUUUCGGAGGUGCGUUCGCUUUUAAUUUGUUUUGCAGCCAGGUGCACAGGUGUUCUGAUUGUCCUGUUCAGAAGAUAUUCCAGGCCGUGUGAGGGCGCACAAUUUACAUACUGUAAUACUACAGCACACAUCUGUUGUGUGCUGUAGUAUUACCUAAUGCUAACUGAUGCACUUGAAAAUAUGAAUGCUGAGUGAUAAAAUGAAUUAAAAACCCCAGCCCCACCAUACAAAAAACAAAUAUACUGUUGUACAAAAGUUGCAAACGGUGAACUGGCAUUGCUCUGUACUGUAGGGUGAGAAACAGGCACUUUUUCAUUACAAUUAAAAUAACCUACAACCCCUACCAAAAUUCUUGUUCUGGUUAACCUCCUACCUUCUCCAGCUGUGCUCUCCACAUUGUUGAACUUUUCCACAAUGCAAGUGACAAGAGCCGCCCUAUCCUACAGUAUGUGAAAGAUCACAUAAUCCCCUGUGAUUCAGAAGUUCAGAUCAGGCUGGUGUCAUUGCAACCUUCCAUUUUAAGAGGGAGAGUAGUGAAAUAAGCAACUUGCAGACCCCAGAUGCAGCCCACACCAACCUGCAUAGAUUUUUUUCUGAUGCUAGUUUAUUCAAAUUGUUCUGUGUUUUUGUUUACAUGUAACACACGACUUAAUAAAAUGGGUUUAUACAAAUGCUGUCCAUUUUGCAGGCUCUCCAGCAGAACGGCUCCCAUCUUCACCCUUCUUGAAUUCAACUCUCGGCUUCACAGUCAAUUUGUAGAGAUGCACGCUGACUACAUCCAGGGACUUCUUUGCAAAUCCUCUGUGGACGGCUCCUGCUGUUAUUACUUAAAGUAGAUGAACAAUUGCUUUGUAUGCCAAAUAAAGUAAAAAUAUGAGUACAUAUAGUACAAAUGAUCUUGAGCAACCCUGGGGAGAUGGACAGCUUCAUUUGUUCCAAUAAGAAAGUAAAAAUUGAAAAAAACUCCCAUGACCCUUUUAAAUAAAAGUAAGAAAAGUUACAGACAUUUGGUCCAUCUAGCCUAUGUGGUAGUUAGUAAGUAAUUGAUGAUAGAAUCUCAUCCAGCCUUUUCUUUCAACAAUAUGGUUGGGUAGCUUAUUCUUCAACUCUGUGUAAAAAUGUGCUGUUUCUUGUUUCUCCUCCUGAUGCUGUUGCUUCACCUCUUAAAUAUAAAUAGAGGUUAAAAGGGUGGUAAAGGUCA
rnacentral:lncRNA from 1 species